CCUGUCUCCUCUGUUCCUGCCAAUGUAAUGAAGGUUUUGAAGUUCUCUUAUUUCUCUUAGUGCUGUUUCACUUCCAACUUCUGGUUUUUCCACAACGAAUCAAACGGGUACAUGGAUCUGACAUAGUAAAGUCCUCCAAUAAAUGUUUCUAAGGAGAACAGAUCAUCCUACUCUAAAGGAAGAGAAUGCACAUUUCUUGAAGAUCUCUGCAUGUGGGAAAAUGAAGGCCUCCAGGCACAGGGAAGAAGUCCACGCGAUCACUGUACAAGUAGCAGGUGGCAAAGCUGAAACAAACUCAGGUCUUCUGAUUCCCGGCUCAAUGUUUUCAUGAUUGUCUUUUUCUGCCUUUCUUAUUUUAGGUCUUUUCUACUUAUAGAAACAA